GCUCUCGUAGCUCAACUGGAUAGAGCGCUUGGCUUCGGACCAAGAGGUUGCAGGUUCAAAUCCUGCCGAGAGCA
rnacentral:tRNA from 1 species